rnacentral:snRNA from 1 species
GGAUGUGAGAGGGAUCUGACUGCAACAUGUGUCAUUGCAUUGAUCGCCAGGGUUGAUUUGGCUGAUCUGGGUGGCUAGGCAGGGUCCACUUCUUCCCUUCAGAUCCGUGUGCUUUCCUCCAAAGUUGUGUACUUGGUGAAAAAGAACAACCAAUCAUCAUCAUCAUCAUCAUCAUCAUCAUCCAAUGUCGUUGUGUUAAUAAUAAUAAUAAUAAUAAUUUAUGUAUAACCCUCCCUCUUUCCCCAAAGUGACUCAGGGUGGUUGCACUCAGUCAUAGAAGGAAUGUACUGAGGUCUACAUCUUUUGUCCCCAGUAUAUGAUACUUGUACUCCCCUGCUAGAGCCUCCAAAGAAGCUCAAGAAUUAGGGUGGGACAAAUAUCUGCACACAUAUGCUUAUAUAGGUAGAUACACGUUUGUAG